AUUGAACGCUGGCGGCAUGCUUUACACAUGCAAGUCGAACGGUGUCUUCGGACAUAGUGGCGCACGGGUGCGUAACACGUAUGCAACCUACCUUACAUUGGGGGAUAGCCUUUCGAAAGGGAGAUUAAUACCGCAUAAGACAGUAGCUGGGCAUCCAGCAGCUGUUAAAGAUUUAUCGAUGUAAGCUGGGCAUGCGUCCAAUUAGCUAGUUGGUGAGGUAACGGCUCACCAAGGCAAUGAUUGGUAGGGGAACUGAGAGGUCAAUCCCCCACACUGGCACUGAGAUACGGGCCAGACUCCUACGGGAGGCAGCAGUAGGGAAUAUUGGGCAAUGGACGCAAGUCUGACCCAGCCAUGCCGCGUGCAGGAUGAAGGCGUUAUGCGUUGUAAACUGCUUUUAUACAGGAAGAAACGACUCUUGCGAGAGGCAUUGACGGUACUGUAUGAAUAAGCACCGGCUAACUCCGUGCCAGCCGCCGCGGUAAUAC
rnacentral:rRNA from 1 species